rnacentral:rRNA from 1 species
GCACCGGCUAACUACGUGCCAGCAGCCGCGGUAAUACGUAGGGUGCGAGCGUUAAUCGGAAUUACUGGGCGUAAAGCGUGCGCAGGCGGUUUUUUUAAGACAGGCGUGAAAUCCCCCGGGGCUUAACCUGGGGAACUGCGCUUGUGACUGGAAGGCUAGAGUACGGCAGAGGGGGGUGGAAUUCCACGUGUAGCAGUGAAAUGCGUAGAGAUGUGGAGGAACACCGAUGGCGAAGGCAGCCCCCUGGGCCGAUACUGACGCUCAUGCACGAAAGCGUGGGGAGCAAACUAGGAUUAGAUACCCUGGUAGUCCAACGCCCUAAACGAUGUCAACUAGUUGUUGGGUGGGUAAAACCAUUUAGUAACGUAGCUAACGCGAGAAGUUGACCGCCUGGGGAGUACGGCCGCAAGGUUAAAACUCAAAGGAAUUGACGGGGACCCCGCUACAAGCGGUGGAUGAUGUGGAUUAAUUCGAUGCAACGCGAAAACCUUACCUACCCUUGACAUGCCG